CAGAUACCGUCGUAGUUCUGACCAUAAACGAUGCCGACUAGCGAUCCGCCGUAGUUGCUUCAAUGACUCGGCGGGCAGCUUCCGGGAAACCAAAGUCUUUGGGUUCCGGGGGAAGUAUGGUUGCAAAGCUGAAACUUAAAGGAAUUGACGGAAGGGCACCACCAGGAGUGGAGCCUGCGCUUAAUUUGACUCAACACGGGAAAACUCACCCGGCCCGGACACUGUAAGGAUUGACAGAUUGAGAGCUCUUUCUUGAUU
rnacentral:rRNA from 1 species